rnacentral:misc_RNA from 1 species
AAGUCGUAACAAGGUUUCCGUAGGUGAACCUGCGGAAGGAUCAUUAAUGAAAUGAUAAUUUUUUGGGGUUUUCCCUGAAAAAUAAUUCACCUUUUGUGCAUUGUUAUUAGAUAUACUUUGGUUAGAGCUUUGAUUUCAUUUAUUGGAAUCAACUUCUUGCUAACUCUAUCCUGUUAAGGACAGUUGGCUAUGAAGCGGCCUACCAAGGUUUUUUUAUCAAACUAUUGUAUUUUGUCUGACCUAAACUAUUAUAAUUAAAAUCAUAACUUUCAACAACGGAUCUCUUGGCUCUC